GAUGAAGAACGUAGUGAAAUGCGAUAAGUAAUGUGAAUUGCAGAAUUCAGUGAAUCAUCGAAUCUUUGAACGCACAUUGCGCCCGCCAGUAUUCUGGCGGGCAUGCCUGUUCGAGCGUCAUUACAACCCUCAGGCCCCCGGGCCUGGCGUUGGGGAUCGGCGGAAGCCCCCUGCGGGCACAACGCCGUCCCCCAAAUACAGUGGCGGUCCCGCCGCAGCUUCCAUUGCGUAGUAGCUAACACCUCGCAACUGGAGAGCGGCGCGGCCACGCCGUAAAACACCCAACUUCUGAAUGUUGACCUCGAAUCAGGUAGGAAUACCCGCUGAACUUAAGCAUAUCAGUAAGCGGAGGA
rnacentral:misc_RNA from 1 species